UACAGAGGAUGUAAGCGUUAUCCGGAAUGAUUGGGCGUAAAGCGUCUGUAGGUGGCUUUUUAAGUCCGCCGUCAAAUCCCAGGGCUCAACUCUGGACAGGCGGUGGAAACUACCAAGCUGGAGUACGGUAGGGGCAGAGGGAAUUUCCGGUGGAGCGGUGAAAUGCGUAGAGAUCGGAAAGAACACCAAUGGCGAAGGCAGCUCGCUGGGACGUGACUGACGCUGAGACGCGAAAGCGUGGGGAGCAAACAGG
rnacentral:rRNA from 1 species